AGCAUCUUUUUCAAGAAAUAUUAGGACCUGAUGGAAAGGAUGUGCGCAGAGUUGUGUUGCAUUAAUUAUUUUUUUCAUCCACAAAAUGCAGAAUUCUGGUGGCUUUACUGAUUUCAGACCUGUUGCACGUUAUAAUGUGAUUACAAAUGCCAUAGUCAGGUCUUGAUCGAUGCUUAGACUCUGUUAUCCAAGUUAAUCAGUCUGCCUUUAUUCUUAGCGGGGAAAUUGGAAAAAUGUGUUAUUAGUUCCAUAGAAAGGCAAGAGGGGAGAGUUUGAGAAAUAACAUCAUCUUUUCUGCUGUUUUUUUUUUUUUUUAACUGCAAUAAUUUGGAGAGCUGUGAAGCAGAAGGUUCUUAGUAAAUAGGGCGUUUGUAGUUAGUGAGGAUGGC
rnacentral:lncRNA from 1 species